CUACGUGCCAGCAGCCGCGGUAAUACGGAAGGUCCGGGCGUUAUCCGGAUUUAUUGGGUUUAAAGGGAGCGUAGGCCGCCCCUUAAGCGUGUUGUGAAAUGCGGGUGCUCAACAUCCGACUUGCAGCGCGAACUGGGGGGCUUGAGUGCGCCGAAAGUAGGCGGAAUUCGUGGUGUAGCGGUGAAAUGCUUAGAUAUCACGAAGAACUCCGAUUGCGAAGGCAGCUUACUGUAGCGCAACUGACGCUGAUGCUCGAAAGCGUGGGUAUCGAACAGGAUUAGAUACCCUGGUAGUCCACGCGGUAAACGAUGGAUGCUCGUUGUCGGCCUUUGCGGCCGGUGACCAAGCGAAAGCGUUAAGCAUCCCACCUGGGGAGUACGCCGGCAACGGUGAAACUCAAAGGAAUUGACGGGGGCCCGCACAAGCGGAGGAACAUGUGGUUUAAUUCGAUGAUACGCGAGGAACCUUACCCGGGCUUGAA
rnacentral:rRNA from 1 species